rnacentral:lncRNA from 13 species
CUGCAGGAAGGAAGCACAGCUCUUUCAUCUUUGCAUGGUAGCAAGUGUAGUGCCUCAAAUCGAAGCAUUGAGUGCCUGUUGUACAGAAGGAUGGAGGUUUGCCUGGGCCGUAGAAUGAGUAUUUUUCUUACAGGAAGAUCCCAUUCCAACAGCAGACUGAGUGAACUUGAUUACCCAUAUAUUAAUAAUUUAUUUUUUUCCUCUUGGUUCUUCUCUCCACAGCCAAAAUUUUCCCAUUCAAACUGUCAUUAUGCACUAUGACGAUGCUUGGUUUCCAGACUGUCAUACUCCAAUUUCCAUCUCACUCUCUGUGAAUAUCAAAGGAAGACAGACAGACUUUCUGAAAGAUAACUUUUGCGGACUUUGUAUUAUUUCAGUAGCUGUCUUGGAAAAGCUGAUCUGGAGUUCCUAGCCUCAAGUGAUCCUCCUGCAUCAGCCUCCUGAGUAGCUGGGAUUCUAUGCUCAAGCCACCACUCCCCGCAGGAGAUAUCUGUUUGAACUGCUUUUCUCAAGAUGCUGGUGAAAAGGCCGAGAAACCAGACACUAAGAAGAAGAAACCUGAAGCAAACAAAGAUGUUCCCAGUGACAAGGAGAAGAAAAAUAACCCCAGAGCCAAAUGCCCAAUAAAGGAAAGCCGCACUGCAGCUGCAACACUGUCUUGGAAGGAUCAACAGAUAUUCCUGAUUCGAAGAGUGCCCUCUGCAAGUAGAAGUGUUCAGCAGCUAAAUCCAGGAUUGAAAGAAGAAAGGAGAUGGUUCUUGCCACUUUCACAAAGCCGGUUUGUGGUAACAAGAAUGGUGAUCUCCCCAGUGUGUAACUUGGCCAUAUGCCUACUUACUAUCCUACUAAAGAUGUAUCUCAAAAGCCAUUGAGCCAUUGCAAGAAACCAUUUCAUCAGCAUGUGAGAAAACAGAGAUUGUGUUGCUUCCAGGUCCCCUCUGUUUUCCCUCAUUUGUCACCACAGAAGCCAAACGAUAGCUUUCCUGAGGCAACUGAGCCACUUGUUCACUGUGAUUGAACCUCUGGCCCUCAACUGAGUUUCUCUGUGUUUGAGCACAACAGAAAUUUGCCAUUGCUACCUAUGCCAAAAUCAGUGUGAAAAUCCCAAUGUUUCUCAAUGAUGCCUACUUGAAGAAAGAGCUGCAUAAAGCCAGAGAACAAGAAGGUGAGAGCUCUGACAUAGAGAAAGGGAAAUUAAAGGUUACGCAGCAGUGCAAGAUCAAUCCGAAUAUGCUAGGCUCUCAACUGACGCCAAAACUCAAAGCUGUUCCCUGGUUCCAUGGCUGUCCGUGUUCCACAUUCUUUCUCACAAAUGGAGAUUAUUCUUACAAACUGGUGCUCAAAAUUUCUAACAAAGAACUCAAAUUAAAACAAAUGAAACAUUUUUUAAAAGCACAGUAAUCCUUCAUUAUCUGUUAGUUUCAAUUUGCAUUUAGAAUCAAACUUG